rnacentral:rRNA from 1 species
UUUUUUUAGGUUAAAUUAAAAGUAAAUUCUGCCCUAUGAUUCUUUAAUUAAAUGGCUGCAGUAUUUUGACUGUGCAAAGGUAGCAUAAUCAUUAGUCAUUUAAUUGUUGACUUGUAUGAAUGGAUAAAUGAGGGAUUAAUUUUUUUAAUUUUAUUAUUAAAAUUUUAUUUUUAAGUAAAAAAGCUUUAAUUAAUUUUUUGGGACGAUAAGACCCUAUAGAACUUUAUUAUAUAUUUUUUAUUAAUUACUUUUAGUUUUUCUUGUAUUAAUAGAUUUCAUAUUUUUUUGUUGGGGUGACAAAUAAAUUUUUAACUUUAUUUUAUUAAAUCAUUAAUUUUUGAUUAUUUUGAUCCAUAAUUUAGAUUAAAAGAUUAAGUUACCUUAGGGAUAACAGCGUAAUUUUAAUGGGGAGUUCAUAUUUAUAUUAAAGUUUGCGACCUCGAUGUUGAAUUAAGAUAAGUUUGAGGGGUAGGUUUUUCAUUUCUAAGUCUGUUCGACUUUUAAAUUCUU